rnacentral:lncRNA from 1 species
GGAUAAAUAAUGACUCUGCAUUAUCGACCUCAAUCAAGUUUGAUAGGCAGUUUAGCAUCCUCUUAAAGACGUCUUAUAUCCCAAUUUUAGAUAUUGUGUUUGGAUAAUAGUCUGGGGAUAUUUUCCAAUGUUACCAAAAUAAGGCAUAAAGUAAAAUAUUUCUUUUAUAUGAAUAAAUAAUUAAAAAUAUUUUAUUAAUUUUGUUACGUCCGGCGGACUCCACGAUUUUCCUUUGUCAGAGAAACAAAUAAUAGCGUUUUUCACUGGUCGCACUAGUGCACACUCAGUGCGCACCAUCCGCGGGCAACGUGUUUCACUGGGCGUUUCGAUGCGCACGAAGAUAGUGCGCGCUGUUUCACUGGAAAGUUUAGUGCCGAGUUUUUGCACUAUAGUGCGGAAAUUUGGCACGAGCUCCGAGGGACGGUGUUUCAAACAUUGGUGUUUCUCAAUUCAGUGCAAUAUGGCAGCGCGCGACAUUGAAAACUUUUCCAAUUCGCGGAAUGCACAUUUAGCUUGAACUGCUAGGCCGGUAUUCAUAGUCGAAUCUUAUUCAAGAUUCUUAAGCACGAUCUUGAGACGUCAAUGCUGUUAUUUCAUUGAUUAAGUAAGUCUCAAGUCGGCUCGAAGCUAGACUUAAGAUAAUUCUUGAACUUAAGAUCGGUCUAUGAAUUCCGUCCCUAGAUUUGUUAUCAUUGUCAUCCAGCAGUGAUGAAGAAUUUUUCGCAGAAGAAAAUCCGCGGAAAAUUCCAAAAAUAGAAAAUUUUAUUGAAGUGGUACAUAACCUUAUGGAUAAAGAGGUAUAUUUAUCUAUUUCAUAGGCUUUUCCGAAAUAAAAAUAAAUUCCUAAUAUAAAGCAUGUAAGCCUGGCUGGACAUUGUCGUUAUUAUUUAGAGGUUUUUUAAUUUUUUAUAAUUGUAAAUAUUUAUUACUCGCAUAUAUCACAACAAACGUUUUGGCUCUCCGUUUGGGUUUUCAGUAUUCUUUUGAUUUGUAAACAAUUAAUAUUAUAAUGUCCUCAAUUCUAGUGCAAGAACUGAUUAAAAUUUAAUAAUGGGCAAGCAAAAAGAAAAUCAAUAAGAAUCAAUAAAAAUUUAUCUUAAAACCUUUAUUUGUGUUGUAAAAAUAUUAAUUAAAAUAUAUUUAUCUUAAAAUAUUAUAUUAUUAAUUAUGUAUCACAUUAAACAUAUAUAUAACGGAUUGCGGAUAUUAUUUGUUUACAAAAGAACACUAAAGAGGAUCCGAAAGGUCGAAACGUUUGUUGUAAUGUAUGCGAAUAGUAAAUAAAUAUUUUUUAUUUAAAAAAAAGAUUCUUAAAUAAUAAAUGACACUAACUGGCUAGACUUACAUGUUCUAUAUUAAUAAUUAAAUUACAUUAUUGUUAUAGUUCAAAAGUCAUUUUCGCGUUGAACAACAGCUUAUAAAAUAAUAGAAAUUUAUAAACAUUCUGGAUUCUAUCCACUUGAUCGGAGUCACGGAGGUAGUGAACCUACCACCGCAGAAUUGGAUAUUUUAUCAUUUCUGUGGUUUGCUGGGAAUAAAGUCUGCCUUAGAGAUGUGUCGCAAAGAUUUGGUGUAUGUCAUGCAACAACUUUCAGGCAGAAUGACCGAGUACUUAAUUUUUUAUUUGACAUGGCUCUAAAAACCAUAAAAUUUGAAGACAACGAAGUUUCUGCAAACGAGUUCUUACAAAUUGCUGGUAUUUCUAAUGUAAUUGGCUGUAUCGAUGGUACGUCGAUAAAAGUACGAACACCAGCGCAUAAAAUUAAAUCAAACUACGUAAAUAGGCAUGAUAUUCCUGCAAUCACAUUAUGAGGUAUAUGUGAUGCUCGAAAAAGAUUUAUCGUUGUCUUCACUGGGAUUCCAACAAAGAUCCACGAUUCGCGAGUAAAGUUAUCGGACAUCAAUAAUGAUUUACCACAAAUCUGUGAUGGAAAAUUUCAUAUAUUAGGAGACGCAGCAUAUCCCAUAAGAGAAUGGCUACUGGUUCCCUAUAGGGAUUAUGGAAAUCUGUUCGAUAAGCAGCGAAAUUUUAAUAAAAAAUUUUGUGCAACUCGAGUGUUAAUCGAAAAUGCAUUUGGACUCUUGAAAAAUCGUUUUCGACAACUUACUGAAUUAGAUCUUCAUAGCGUUGAUAAAAUGUCUAAAUUCAUAAUUCUUGUUGCGUCUUGCAUAACUUAUGCAUUGACAACAACGAUGAUUUUAUUUUGAAUAAUGAUAUCGAGUUAGACAAUCAAGAACUAAAUGAUGAAGGUAGAGGAGAACAAGAAACUCUACUCCGGAGAUUAGGAGAAAUUAAAAGAGAUCAUUUAUUAAAUGUACUUUUUCCAUGAAAUAAAGCCUGAUACAACAAUACUUAAAUUAUAUAUUGCAUAUGUAUUUGUUUGUAUGUAAACCAUAAUAAUAAACAUUUUUGUUUAUAAAUAUUCAGAUUUAUUUAUUUUUGGUAGCGAAAAAACUUAUUUGCUAAGAGUAAUAUUACAUUGGUUUAGUAAUAUUAUUGGUAAUAAUAUUACUAGACCAAUACUAUAUCUGCGAUUUCUAAAUUUGUAAAAAAA